rnacentral:rRNA from 1 species
AAAUUGAAGAGUUUGAUCAUGGCUCAGAUUGAACGCUGGCGGCAGGCCUAACACAUGCAAGUCGAACGGUAACAGGAAGCAGCUUGCUGCUUUGCUGACGAGUGGCGGACGGGUGAGUAAUGUCUGGGAAACUGCCUGGU